rnacentral:rRNA from 1 species
CAGCUAGUUGGUGAGGUAAGAGCUUACCAAGGCGUCGAUCGGUAGCUGGUCUGAGAGGACGAUCAGCCACACUGGGAUUGAGAACGGCCCAGACUCCUACGGGGGGCAGCAGUGAGGAAUUUUCCGCAAUGGGGGCAACCCUGACGGAGCAACGCCGCGUGCAGGAGGACGCUUUUCGGAGUGUAAACUGCUUUUCUGUGGGAAGAGCUACGGACGGUACCACAGGAAGAAGCCCCGGCUAACUACGUGCCAGCAGCCGCGGUAAUACGUAGGGGGCGAGCGUUGUCCGGAGUUACUGGGCGUAAAGGGCAUGCAGGCGGUCGUACGCGUUUCGGGUGACAGCGGGUGGCUUAACUACCCGAGUGUUCGAAAGACGGUACGACUUGAGGGCUCGAGAGGGACACGGAAUUCCGGGUGGAGUGGUGAAAUGCGUAGAGAUCCGGAGGAACACCGAAGGCGAAGGCAGUGUCCUGGCGAGUGACUGACGCUGAGGUGCGAAAGCUAGGGGAGCGAACGGGAUUGGAUUCCCCGGUAG